rnacentral:rRNA from 1 species
AGAGUUUGAUUAUGGCUCAGAACGUACGCUGGCGGCACGCCUAACACAUGCAAGUCGAACGAAGUAGCAAUACUUAGUGGCAGACGGGUGAGUAACAUGUAGGUAUCUGCCCUUUGGCCUGGAAUAACACGAGGAAACUUGUGCUAAUACCGGAUAAGUCUUUACGGAGAAAGCUUUAUGCACCAUUGGAUGAGCCUGCACUUGAUUAGUUUGUUGGUGGGGUAAUGGCCUACCAAGACUGUGAUCAAUAGCUGAUUUGAGAGGAUGAUCAGCCACAUUGGGACUGAGACACGGCCCAAACUCCUACGGGAGGCAGCAGUGGGGAAUCUUGCACAAUGGAGGAAACUCUGAUGCAGCGAUGCCGCGUGAGUGAAGAAGGCCUUUGGGUUGUAAAGCUCUUUCGUCGGGGAAGAAAAUGACUGUACCCGAAUAAGAAGGUCCGGCUAACUUCGUGCCAGCAGCCGCGGUAAUACGAAGGGACCUAGCGUAGUUCGGAAUUACUGGGCUUAAAGAGUUCGUAGGUGGUUGAAAAAGUUAGUGGUGAAAUCCCAGAGCUUAACUCUGGAACUGCCAUUAAAACUUUUCAGCUAGAGUAUGAUAGAGGAAAGCAGAAUUUCUAGUGUAGAGGUGAAAUUCGUAGAUAUUAGAAAGAAUACCAAUUGCGAAGGCAGCUUUCUGGAUCAUUACUGACACUGAGGAACGAAAGCAUGGGUAGCGAAGAGGAUUAGAUACCCUCGUAGUCCAUGCCGUAAACGAUGUGUGUUAGACGUUGGAAAUUUAUUUUCAGUGUCGCAGGGAAACCGAUAAACACACCGCCUGGGGAGUACGACCGCAAGGUUAAAACUCAAAUGAAUUGACGGGGACCCGCACAAGUAGUGGAGCAUGUGGUUUAAUUCGAAGAUACGCGCAGAACCUUACCAACACUUGACAUGUUCGUCGCGACUCUAAGAGAUUAGAGUUUUCGGUUCGGCCGGACGAAACACAGGUGCUGCAUGGCUGUCGUCAGCUCGUGUCGUGAGAUGUUGGGUUAAGUCCCGCAACGAGCGCAACCCUCACUUUUAGUUGCCAUCAUUAAGUUGGGCACUCUGAAAGAACUGCCAGUGAUAAGCUGGAGGAAGGUGGGGAUGACGUCAAGUCCUCAUGGCCCUUACGUGUUGGGCUACACACGUGCUACAAUGGUAUCUACAACAGGAAGCAAGACUGCGAAGUUAAGCAAAUCCCUAAAAGAUACCUCAGUUCGGAUUGCACUCUGCAACUCGAGUGCAUGAAGCUGGAAUUACUAGUAAUCGUGGAUCAGCGUGCCACGGUGAAUGCGUUCCCGGGUCUUGUACACACCGCCCGUCACACCAUGGGAGUUGGUUCUACCUUAAGGCAAGGUUUCAAACCCUUGACCACGGUAUAGUCAGCGACUGGGGUGAAGUCGUAACAAGGUA